rnacentral:rRNA from 1 species
GACGGAGGGUGCAAACGUUGUUCGGAUUUACUGGGCGUAAAGCGCGUGUAGGCGGCUUUGCAAGUCGGAUGUGAAAGCCCACGGCUCAACCGUGGAAGUGCAUCCGAAACUGCAUGGCUGGAGUCUCGGAGAGGAAGGUGGAAUGCUUGGUGUAGAGGUGAAAUUCGUAGAUAUCAAGCAGAACACCUGCGGCGAAGGCGGCCUUCUGGACGAUGACUGACGCUGAGACGCGAAAGCGUGGGGAGCAAACAGG